AAAAUAAAUAAAUAAACAAACAAACAACAACUUCUCAAGUAGAAACUCUACCAAUAAUUUUUUCUAAGUAUAUUUAUUUGUUUAAAUAUAAUUUUUCUUUGCCUAUUCAUAAAAUAUAAAGCAUUGGUUGGGAUUGUUGUGGUGCAACUUCACUUACCGUGCAAGAUUGGUUGAUAAGGUUUCCAUCAAAUCACUAAAGUACAUCACACAUCUAAACAUUCAAAAUGCCAUUUUCCUUUUCUCAUUAAUAAAACCAAAAUUGUAAAAACCUUUUUCUAAUGUACAAUCACUUUUGCAAGCAAUCAUGGAUCAUGCUUGUUGCUGCCUCACUGUUCACAAACAAGAUCCCAAAUUUAAUUGGGUGAAAACUACAAAGGGAUGGCUCUCAAUUUAUUUGGAAUAUUUAUAUGGUUAAGAUCACUUUACAACCUCCUCCUUUUUUGUGCAUUUUCUAGCCACAUUUUUGUACAUACUUAAAUUCAAAAGACUCAAAUUCAUCACAUCAUCAGUACAAGAAACUGAUAAGAAAUGAAGCAGCAACUUCAGAUAAUAAACUUACGUGCAAGUCCAACUCCAGUAAUAGUUACAUUGUUGCCAAGCGUUAUAGAGUUAAUAUAGACUCUGUCAUGACAAGCAGCACCAACAGUGAAGAUCCAUGGACUGAAGGAAGACAUGCUCUUUGGCGAUGGUCCGGUAUUGCCUGCUGCUUGCACAACAAAAAUGCCAGCCUUCACAGCUGAGAGCAAAGCCAUGUCUAUGGGAUUAAAAAAUGU
rnacentral:misc_RNA from 1 species